rnacentral:tRNA from 1 species
GGAGAAGGGCUGUGGCUCUGCGGUAGAGCCUCUACCUGGCAUUCAGAAUGUCCUAGGUUCAGCCCCUAGCAUCUCCA